AGCAGCCGCGGUAAUUCCAGCUCCAAUAGCGUAUAUUAAAGUUGUUGCAGUUAAAAAGCUCGUAGUUGAAUUUCGGGGUUAGCAGGUCGGUCGUGCCAUCGGUAUGAACUGGUCUCGCUGAUCCCUCCCUCUUGACGAACUGUGAUGCCAUUAAUUUGGUGUCGCAGGGAAUCAGGACUGUUACUUUGAAAAAAUUAGAGUGUUUAAAGCAGGCUCACGCUUGAAUACAUUAGCAUGGAAUAAUGAAAUAGGACGUUUGAUCCUAUUUUGUUGGUUUCUAGGAUUGACGUAAUGAUUAAUAGGGAUAGUUGGGGGCAUUAGUAUUCAAUUGUCAGAGGUGAAAUUCUUGGAUUUAUUGAAGACUAACUACUGCGAAAGCAUUUGCCAAAGGAUGUUUUCAUUAAUCAAGAACGAAAGUUAGGGGAUCGAAGACGAUCAGAUACCGUCGUAGUCUUAACCAUAAACUAUGCCGACUAGGGAUCGGAUGAUGU
rnacentral:rRNA from 1 species